AAGAAACUAAGGAAUCGCUGGAGAGAGGAUUGAAGAAAUAUUCCGACCUCCUUGGGAAAUAUGAACUGGUGUUUAAGGACACUGACCUGAGCUCUUUUGAUAACAGCCGAGGAGACCCAGAGUUCCUGAGACUGAGGAAGCUGGACACCAUGAAGGAUGCACGUCCUGACAGGAUAAACGUGGAGGCUGUACACAAGGUUGCCUGGAACCCCAACCCUGGCUGCCAUAUAUGGCUGCUGUCUGCAGGGCAUGCUGGGAUAGCUCGGGUACACUUCAUCAAAGGACUGCAGAAGACUUCUAGUAGAAGAUGACAAAAAUGGAGAAGCGUCAUCUACCCAAACCUGACGUCUCCAGAGAACUAGACAGGCACAGUUCCGGAUUGAACAAGAGUUCCCAGUAAGAGAGAAGACCCCAUAACACCCAUGCCUUGAUUGGAAACCUUUCCAGUCUAACGGCUUGGGUACACUGUGUCAAGGGACUACAGAAGACUUCCAGUAGAAGAUGACAAGAGCAGGAGUGGAGAAAUGUCAUCUACCAAAACCUGACAUCUCAAAUGAAUAAAUGAAUGGUUUAUUGAGGUUAAAUCACUUGUAGCCAUUUUGCUUGAUUGUAGAUCUCAAGUGCCCAUGAUUCUAUUGCUGCAAGAAUCUUCAGACUCGAUUUCAUGACAAGCGUGUACGUACUGAAACACAACAACACACACACACACACACA